AUUGAACGCUGGCGGCAUGCCUUACACAUGCAAGUCGAACGACAGCACGGGUGCUUGCACCUGGUGGCGAGUGGCGAACGGGUGAGUAAUACAUCGGAACAUGUCCUGUAGUGGGGGAUAGCCCGGCGAAAGCCGGAUUAAUACCGCAUACGAUCUACGGAUGAAAGCGGGGGACCUUCGGGCCUCGCGCUAUAGGGUUGGCCGAUGGCUGAUUAGCUAGUUGGUGGGGUAAAGGCCUACCAAGGCGACGAUCAGUAGCUGGUCUGAGAGGACGACCAGCCACACUGGGACUGAGACACGGCCCAGACUCCUACGGGAGGCAGCAGUGGGGAAUUUUGGACAAUGGGCGAAAGCCUGAUCCAGCAAUGCCGCGUGUGUGAAGAAGGCCUUCGGGUUGUAAAGCACUUUUGUCCGGAAAGAAAUCCUUGGCUCUAAUACAGUCGGGGGAUGACGGUACCGGAAGAAUAAGCACCGGCUAACUACGUG
rnacentral:rRNA from 1 species